rnacentral:snRNA from 1 species
GUGCCCGCUUCAGCAGCACAUAUGCUAAAACUGGAAUGAUACAGAGAAGAUAAGCAUGGCCCCUGUGCAAGGGUGACACGCAAAUUCGUGAAGUGUUCCAUAUUUUU